UUCGUGGAGGUCCGAACGGGUGAAAGUUGAAAAUUUCUCCGAUGAGCUGUGGCUAGGGGUGAAAGGCCAAUCAAAUUCCGGGAUAGCUCGUUCUCCCCGAAAGACAUUUAGGUAUCGUCUCCAGCAAUUCUGUCACGGAGGUAGAGCACUGAAAGGGCUAGGGGUCUUACCAGAUUACCAAACCCUAUCAAACUCCGAAUGCCGUGAACUGUUAUCUGGGGAAGCAGUCAUUGGGUGCUAAGGUCCGAUGACGAGAGGGAAAGAGCCCAGACCGACAGCUAAGGUCCCAAAGUUUUGGCUAAGUGGUAAAGGAUGUGGGAACGCAUUGACAGCCAGGAAGUUGGCUUAGAAGCAGCCACCUUUUAAAGAAAGCGUAAUAGCUCACUGGUCGAGUGGGCCUGCGCCGAAAAUGUAACGGGGCUAAAGCCAAACACCGAAGCUUCGGGUUUUAUAGAGAUACGUCUCUUUAAAGCGGUAGGGGAGCGUCGUAGCGGCAACGAAGGUUGAUCGAAAGAACGACUGGAGCUUCUACGAGUGAGUAUGCCACAAUGAGUAGCGAUAAAGAAUGCGAGAAACAUUCUCGCCGUAAACCCAAGGUUUCCUGGGGCAGGUUAAUCCUCCCAGGGUUAGUCGGGUCCUAAGCUGAGGCCGCAAGGCGUAGGUGAUGGAAAGCAGGUUAAUAUUCCUGCACCUGAUAUGAGCAUUGAAGCAAGCGGGGACGGAGAAGGGUAGCUGGGCCACCUGAUGGAUGGUGGUUAAGCAAGUAGGCUGAAGAGAUACGAAACCAAAGGUCUCUUCUUAAGGCCGAGAUGUGAUAUCAACAUUUCUCCUCGGAGAAAUGGAGUCAGUGAUCCCAUGCUUCCAAGAAAAGCCGCGUGUGGAGCAAAAUAUCAGCUCGUACCGUAAACCGACACAGGUGGGUGGGGUGAGUAUCCCAAGGCGCUUGAGAGAACCCAGUCUAAGGAACUCUGCAAAUUGGCACCGUAACUUCGGGAGAAGGUGUGCCUCUUUUGGUGAAGGAACCUGCUUCCGGAGCUGAGGGAGGUUGCAGUGACCAGGCGGUGGCGACUGUUUAUCAAAAACACAGCACUCUGCAAAACCGUAAGGUGAGGUAUAGGGUGUGACGCCUGCCCGGUGCUGGAAGGUUAAAGGGAUCUGUUAGUCGUAAGGCAAAGCAGUGAACUGAAGCCCCAGUAAACGGCGGCCGUAACGAUAACGGUCCUAAGGUAGCGAAAUUCCUUGUCGGGUAAGUUCCGACCUGCACGAAUGGCGUAACGAUCUCCGCACUGUCUCGGGCUGGGACUCAGCGAAAUUGUGCUUGCUGUGAAAACGCAGUGUACCUGCGGCAAGACGGAAAGACCCCGUGAACCUUUACUGUAGCUUGACAGUGAUAUUCGGGCAAGUUUGUGUAGGAUAGGUGGGAGACUUUGAAGCGGGGGCGCUAGCUCUCGUGGAGUCGUCCUUGAAAUACCACCCUGGCUUAUUUGGAUAUCUAACCUAGGCCCGUAAUCCGGGUCGGGGACAUUGUCUGGUGGGCAGUUUGACUGGGGCGGUCGCCUCCC
rnacentral:rRNA from 1 species